AUUGAACGCUGGCGGAAUGCUUUACACAUGCAAGUCGAACGGCAGCACGGACUUCGGUCUGGUGGCGAGUGGCGAACGGGUGAGUAAUGCAUCGGAACAUGCCUAGUCGUGGGGGAUAACGUAGCGAAAGUUACGCUAAUACCGCAUACGUCCUGAGGGAGAAAGCGGGGGACCGAAAGGCCUCGUGCGAUUAGAGUGGCCGAUGUCAGAUUAGCUAGUUGGUGGGGUAAAGGCCUACCAAGGCGACGAUCUGUAGCGGGUCUGAGAGGAUGAUCCGCCACACCGGGACUGAGACACGGCCCAGACUCCUACGGGAGGCAGCAGUGGGGAAUUUUGGACAAUGGGGGCAACCCUGAUCCAGCCAUUCCGCGUGCGGGAAGAAGGCCUUCGGGUUGUAAACCGCUUUCGGACAGAAAGAAAUCGCCAUUCCUAAUACGAGUGGUGGAUGACGGUACUGUAAGAAGAAGCACCGGCUAACUACGUGCCAGCCGCCGCAGUAAGAC
rnacentral:rRNA from 1 species